UGAGGAAUCUUGCACAAUGGGCGAAAGCCUGAUGCAGCGACGCCGCGUGGGCGAUGAAGGUCUUCGGAUCGUAAAGCCCUUUUCUGCGUGACGAGAAAGGACGGUAGCUCAGGAAGAAGCGUCGGCUAACUACGUG
rnacentral:rRNA from 1 species